GAUGAAGAACGUAGCGAAAUGCGAUAAGUAGUGUGAAUUGCAGAAUUCAGUGAAUCAUCGAAUCUUUGAACGCACAUUACGCCCCUUGGUAUUCCAUGGGGCAUGCCUGUUCGAGCGUCAUUUGUACCCUCAAGCUAUGCUUGGUGUUGGGUGUUUGUCCUCUCCUUUUGCGAUUGGACUCGCCUUAAAGACAUUGGCAGCCAGUGUAUUGGUCUUGAAGCGCAGCACAUUUUGCGAUUCUUGCUGAUAAUCACUAGCGUCCAGUAAGCCUAUUUUAACACUUUUGACCUCGGAUCAGGUAGGGAUACCCGCUGAACUUAAGCAUAUCAAUAAGCGGAGGA
rnacentral:misc_RNA from 1 species